GUAGGUGGCAAGCGUUGUCCGGAAUUAUUGGGCGUAAAGCGCGCGCAGGCGGUUCUUUAAGUCUGAUGUGAAAGCCCACGGCUCAACCGUGGAGGGUCAUUGGAAACUGGAGAACUUGAGUACAGAAGAGAAAAGCGGAAUUCCACGUGUAGCGGUGAAAUGCGUAGAGAUGUGGAGGAACACCAGUGGCGAAGGCGGCUUUCUGGUCUGUAACUGACGCUGAGGCGCGAAAGCGUGGGGAGCAAACAGGAUUAGAUACCCUGGUAGUCCACGCCGUAAACGAUGAGUGCUAAGUGUUAGGGGGUUUCCGCCCCCCUUAGUGCUGCAGCUAACGCAUUAAGCACUCCGCCUGGGAGUACGGCCGCAAGGCUG
rnacentral:rRNA from 1 species